rnacentral:rRNA from 1 species
AUUGAACGCUGGCGGCAGGCCUAACACAUGCAAGUCGAACGAGUGGCGGACGGGUGAGUAAUGCCUAGGAAACUGCCUGAUGGAGGGGGAUAACGACUGGAAACGGUAGCUAAUACCGCAUACUAUCAGAUGAGCCUAGAUGGGAUUAGCUUGUUGGUGGGGUAAAGGCUCACCAAGGCGACGAUCCGUAACUGGUCUGAGAGGAUGACCAGUCACACUGGAACUGAGACACGGUCCAGACUCCUACGGGAGGCAGCAGUGGGGAAUAUUGCACAAUGGGCGCAAGCCUGAUGCAGCCAUGCCGCGUGUAUGAAGAAGGCCUUCGGGUUGUAAAGUACUUUCAGCGGGGAGGCGUUACCCGCAGAAGAAGCACCGGCUAACUCCGUGCCAGCAGCCGCGGUAAUUC